GAUGAACGCUGGCGGCGUGCCUAAUACAUGCAAGUCGAGCGAACGGACGAGAAUCGUGCUUCGCUUAUGUUACCGACGGAUGGGUGAGGAACACGUGGAUAACCGGCCUAGAAGACUGGCAUAACUUCGGGAAACCUGAUCUAAUAUCCGACAAGAGUUUGAACGUCAUGGAUCAAAAGUAAACAACGGAUUUGCUGACACUAGGAGAGGGUUCCGCGUUGCAUUAGCUAGUUGGUAAGGUAACGGCCUACCAAGGCAACGAUGCAUAGCCGACCUGAGAGGGUGAUCAGCCACACUGGAACUGAGACACGGUCCAGACUCCUACGGGAGGCAGCAGUAGGGAAUCUUCCGCAAUGGGCGAAAGCCUGACGGAGCCAUGCCGCGUGAGUGAUGAAGGUCUUCGGAUCGUAAAACUCUGUUAUUAGGGAAGAACAUAUGUGUAAGAAAAUGUGCACAUCUUGACGGUACCUAAACAGUAAGCAACGGCUAACUACGUG
rnacentral:rRNA from 1 species